rnacentral:rRNA from 1 species
CCUGGCUCAGGAUGACGCUGGCGGCGUGCUUAACACAUGCAAGUCGAACGAAGCCCUCGGGCUUAGUGGCGGACGGGUGAGUAACGCGUGAGAAUCUACCUUCUAGAUGGGGACAACCGUUGGAAACGACGGCUAAUCCCCAAUAAGCCGAGAGGUGAAACGGGUAUCCGCUAGAAGAGGAGCUCGCGUCCGAUUAGUUAGUUGGUGGGGUAAGAGCCUACCAAGGCAGCGAUCGGUAGCUGGUCUGAGAGGAUGAGCAGCCACACUGGGACUGAGACACGGCCCAGACUCCUACGGGAGGCAGCAGUGGGGAAUUUUCCGCAAUGGGCGAAAGCCUGACGGAGCAACGCCGCGUGUGGGAAGAAGGCUCUUGGGCUGUCAACCACUUUUCUCAGGGAAGAAGUCCUGACGGUACCUGAGGAAUCAGCCUCGGCUAACUCCGUGCCAGCAGCCGCGGUAAUACGGAGGAGGCAAGCGUUAUCCGGAAUUAUUGGGCGUAAAGCGUCCGCAGGGGGCGCAUCAAGUCUGCUGUUAAAGGUCGGAGCUAAACUCCGGUAGAGCAGUGGAAACUGGUGCGCUAGAGGGCGACAGGGGUAGAGGGAAUUCCCAGUGUAGCGGUGAAAUGCGUAGAGAUUGGGAAGAACACCGGUGGCGAAAGCGCUCUACUGGGUCGCACCUGACCCUCAGGGACGAAAGCUAAGGUAGCGAAAGGGAUUAGAUACCCCUGUAGUCUUAGCCGUCAACGAUGGAUACUAGGCGUGGUUUGUGUCGACCCAAGCCGUGCCGAAGCUAACGCGUUAAGUAUCCCGACUGGGGAGUACGCACGCAAGUGUGAAAUUCAAAGGAAUUGACGGGGGACCGGACAAGCGGUGGAGGAAGUGGUUAAUUCGAUGCAA